UGUUAAUUUCAUCCCAAUGUUGAACGACUCAAACUUUAAGAUAUAAAAAAACAGUGUUCGGAUUCAUCCCAUGUUGAACGACUCAUACUUCAAGAUAUGAAAAAAUAGUGUUUGGAUUGUUCUUAAAGUUAUGGAUCUGGAUUGUGCUUUACGGGUCAAUCCACCCACUCCAUUUACUCCUAACAGUACUCUUGAGGAAAGGAGGGAGUUUGAAAGAUGGGAUCGAUCAAACCGUAUGUAUU
rnacentral:lncRNA from 1 species